AUCCCCUUAAGUUGAUCCUGGCUCACGACGAACGCUGGCGGCGCGCCUAACACAUGCAAGUCGAACGAGAGAGAGGGAGCUUGCUUCCUCAAUCGAGUGGCGAACGGGUGAGUAACGCGUGAGGAACCUGCCUCAAAGAGGGGGACAACAGUUGGAAACGACUGCUAAUACCGCAUAAGCCCACAGCUCGGCAUCGAGCAGAGGGAAAAGGAGCAAUCCGCUUUGAGAUGGCCUCGCGUCCGAUUAGCUGGUUGGUGAGGUAACGGCCCACCAAGGCGACGAUCGGUAGCCGGACUGAGAGGUUGAACGGCCACAUUGGGACUGAGACACGGCCCAGACUCCUACGGGAGGCAGCAGUGGGGAAUAUUGCACAAUGGGGGAAACCCUGAUGCAGCGACGCCGCGUGGAGGAAGAAGGUCUUCGGAUUGUAAACUCCUGUUGUUGAGGAAGAUAAUGACGGUACUCAACAAGGAAGUGACGGCUAACUACGUGCCAGCAGCCGCGGUAAAACGUAGGUCACAAGCGUUGUCCGGAAUUACUGGGUGUAAAGGGAGCGCAGGCGGGAAGACAAGUUGGAAGUGAAAUCUAUGGGCUCAACCCAUAAACUGCUUUCAAAACUGUNUUUCUUGAGUAGUGCAGAGGUAGGCGGAAUUCCCGGUGUAGCGGUGGAAUGCGUAGAUAUCGGGAGGAACACAGUGGCGAAGGCGGCCUACUGGGCACCAACUGACGCUGAGGCUCGAAAGUGUGGGUAGCAAACAGGAUUAGAUACCCUGGUAGUCCACACCGUAAACGAUGAUUACUAGGUGUUGGAGGAUUGACCCCUUCAGUGCCGCAGUUAACACAAUAAGUAAUCCACCUGGGGAGUACGACCGCAAGGUUGAAACUCAAAGGAAUUGACGGGGGCCCGCACAAGCAGUGGAGUAUGUGGUUUAAUUCGACGCAACGCGAAGAACCUUACCAAGUCUUGACAUCCUGCGACGGACAUAGAAAUAUGUGUUUCCUUCGGGACGCAGAGACAGGUGGUGCAUGGUUGUCGUCAGCUCGUGUCGUGAGAUGUUGGGUUAAGUCCCGCAACGAGCGCAACCCUUACUGUCAGUUACUACGCAAGAGGACUCUGGCAGGACUGCCGUUGACAAAACGGAGGAAGGUGGGGAUGACGUCAAAUCAUCAUGCCCUUUAUGACUUGGGCUACACACGUACUACAAUGGCGUUAAACAAAGAGAAGCAAGACCGCGAGGUGGAGCAAAACUCAGAAACAACGUCCCAGUUCGGACUGCAGGCUGCAACUCGCCUGCACGAAGUCGGAAUUGCUAGUAAUCGUGGAUCAGCAUGCCACGGUGAAUACGUUCCNCGGGCCCUUGUACACACCGCCCGU
rnacentral:rRNA from 1 species